UACAGAGGGGGCUAGCGUUGUUCGGAAUUACUGGGCGUAAAGCGUGCGUAGGUGGUGAGUUAAGUCUGUCGUGAAAGCCCCGGGCUCAACCUGGGAAUGGCGAUGGAUACUGGCUCGCUAGAGUGCGGUAGAGGAGAGUGGAAUUCCCGGUGUAGCAGUGAAAUGCGCAGAUAUUGGGAGGAACACCAAUGGCGAAGGCAGCACCCUGGGCCGGUACUGACGCUGAGGAGCGAAAGCGUGGGGAGCAAACAGG
rnacentral:rRNA from 1 species